ACCUGAUGGGGUGGACGGCCACACUGGGACUGAGACGCGGGCCAGACUCCUACGGGAGGCAGCAUGAGGGAAUCUUCGGCGAUGGACGGAAGUCUGACCGAACAACGCCGCGUGAGUGAAGAAGGUUUUCGGAUCGUAAAACUCUGUUGUUAGAGAAGAACUAGGACGUUAGUAACUGAACGUCCCCUGACGGUAUCUAACCAGAAAGCCACGGCUAACUACGUGCCAGCAGCCGCGGUAAUACGUAGGUGGCAAGCGUUGUCCGGAUUUAUUGGGCGUAAAGCGAGCGCAGAGCUGUUUCUUACGUCUGAUGUGAAAGCCCCCGGCUCAACCGGGGAGGGUCAUUGGAAACUGGGAGACUUGAGUGCUGAAGAGGAGACUGGAAUUCCAUGUGUAACGGUGAAAUGCAUAGAUAUAUGGAGGAACACCAGUGGCGAAAGCGGCUCUCUGGUCUGUAACUGACGCUGAGGCUCCAAAGCGUGGGGAGCAGACAGGAUUAGAUACCCUGGUAGUCCACGCCGUAAACGAUGAGUGCUAAGUGUUGCAGGGUUUCCGCCCUUCUUUGCUGCAC
rnacentral:rRNA from 1 species